UGGCUCAUGUGUUAAAAUGUGUUGUCCGUACCAAUCUGAGCUUCACAGAGGAAACUAUCAGGGAUCUAGUCUUUGCACUUUCCCAGACACUCAACUCAUUAGUUGAACAAUACUCCACAAUGAAUUUCAGCACUGUGGAGUCCAACAUCAUGGAUGUUGUUCAACAGCUCCAAACAGACGGUUUCACAGAUGAGAACCUUCAUGAUGUGGAAUUCAUCAGACUCUGGUUUCAGACCAAACUCAAGCCACUCCUACCAACAGUAUCGAAAGAAUUCCUCUCCUGUCUCAGCACAAAGGACUUCAGCUGUGAGACCUACCAAAUCCUAGUAAAGGAGAUGAGUGAUCACAUCACUUUAAUGGAUGAAACAAGACAGCGUUUGGUUUACACUGAAUUUAUUCACCUAUUCUUGUUAAAACAUCAUAAUUCAGAUUCAGCAUGCAUUUCCAGCACAAACAACAGUGUAGACUGGCUCAUCUGGAAUUUUGGAAAAUUUUCCAUUUUUGCACUCCUUCAGGAUUUU